ensembl:lncRNA
CAGGACUAUAUUUCAUACUAACAUUAAAACCGCUGUGGAGCACAGCUCCCCAGAACCCAUAUUCGCUUUAAACACUAUUUUGAUAACACCAAGGAGAAAUCAAUACACUAAGGGUAGGGAACAGCAGCAUGGUAGCACAGAGCCAAAAGAGGACCACGCGAAACAAAAGCAAAGACCCAGGGAACGUUUGAGUGCACCCAGGGCUGAAUGCAGGCUUGAGAGAGGCGGGCAUAUUCUGGGUCAUAUGGAAAAGGAGUGGGAAGGCCAGGGUAGCAGGGUGAGUUGCAGAAAGGAGCAUGUUGAGCUGUCAGUCAGGUCUAGAAAUAGAAAAGCAUCUGCCCACUUCACUGUUAUUCAGAGUGUAUCCCUGCAACCAGGCACCAACACUUGCUACAGAGACUCGCUGAUACUCAGACGUUGGAAAAGCAGAGCCGGCAAGGCGCCUGGCAGUCCAGACCACUCUCCCUUAUAUUGUGUAGCAGCACUUGGCAACCCUGCCACACCACAGGCAAUAGCAGAGGAUCAACCAGCAUGGGAACAAAGCUUGCUGAGGCCAGCAGUAAGGCCCUCAAGUCAGCCCUCUGCUGAUGAAAACUACAACAAUUGGACAGAUGAAGCUCUCUCUUUUAAAAUUCAGAUGUAUUCAAACACUCAAAACACAUCUGCUUGCUCAGAAUCCAGUAGCUUUGAGUGUGUUGCUGUGGCAUUGGAAACUACAGAUGAAGUAAACCGAGGCUUAAAGACUGUGCCCAAAAGACAAAUCCAACUGAAGAGACGCGACUCAACAGAGGCACAUGCCAGAGAGAGCAGCAAUCAAAGCCUUCAGGUUGCAAACACACCUGGAGUCCCAUGUGGCUGAUCAAAGGUCAGUACAGGCUGACAGAAAGCAAAGGCUUCAGAAGUCAUUUUCCCUGGAUGAAACCUCCUGCAAAACCCAGAUGGCUUCCUGCAUCAUAACAAAUGUCUUAACAAAAAAAAUGCAACAUGAACAGAAUCUUCACACCUUGGAUGUUUCUGAUAAAGCCUUUACUUCUAUCAAAGUGAGCAACAGGACUACUACCACUGAUGAAUGCAUCUAUUUGUCUGACAAGGAUGUAUUUGCUGAAACUACCAAACUAAACCAAAAUGCUACUCUUAAGAGGGAGGUCCAGAGAGAGUGCAGCCCUGUUCAAAAGCAUUGCAGUGUUAACUUUAAAACGCAGCCCAAGCUGCUGAGCAAACAUGGCUUCAAUCCUCUUUUAAGUGCAAUUGUCAGGUCUGAAGUUCAAGGCAGUUGCACUGAAAUAAUGGACCCUUCAGAGAAUGAGAAAGCAGAGAAGUUGAGUCCAAGAGAGAACAUGUUCCGGCUGCCUAACCUGUGCCCUGGUGUGAAGCUAUUCUGUGACUCAGCAAAAAGCAGAGCAUGGAAUUUGAGUGUAGCAACAAAUGUAGCCAUCAGCACACAGGCUUCUAUGAAAACCACACCUGAAGAAUGCCAUACAGGGCAAGGAAUCCAUAGACAACACAAUAUGACCCUUACCAAUGUGCUGGAAAAGCAGGACAGAACAGGCUGGCAUUAUGGAAGGUACACUCAGUCCUACUAA